GUGAGUCAGUCCUCACCAUCGGAGGCGUUCUUAUCAGCUCAAGCUCAAAAUCAAUCUAAAGACUGUUUUCGUUGGCAACACUGACAGAAAAGAGUAAAAAACAAUCCCAGACAGAAGAACAAACAAAAUGAAUUGCCAAUACCAUAACAUAACCUCACUUAUCGACUUAUCAGAGAAUUAUUUAUCAUUCAAUUAGGAAAUAAAGAAAGACGUAAAUUAAUAAUCGUCACUCACUGAUGACUGACAGUUCAUUAUUGUGAAAUUGUGGUUAGCCAUCCUUUAUCUUUGUUGGGAUUAAAAAUGAUAGAACAGAAAUCAGUUGUCACAAACCGGCCAAGAGAUUGUUUGGCUUGUAGGCUUAUCAGCGGAUUUGGCCUGACAGGUGCUGGUGCUUAUGUUGCUAAACAAACAUUUAACAUGAAAAAAGGUUAUGGUCGGUCUCUCAUACUCUCUGUUGCUAUUGGUACUAUAGGCCUUGGUGGGGCCAGACUUCUUGAUCUUCCUCCAUUUGAUUCUCUACAUUAACCACAUGUAAGGUAUAACAUAAAUAUAUGCUAUGCAUUAUACAUUGAUGUAAACUUUUGCAAAUAAAUAAUAAAAAAAUUUAA